rnacentral:precursor_RNA from 1 species
UAGGUACUUCAUAUCUUAUUAAAUCCAUGUAUUUUUGUUACUUUUCUUUGGGUUUUUAUUAUUAAAUAUAGUGAUUUUUCUCUUAAUUGUCAUUUGACACUCAUGAUACCUUCUUUAACUGUGGAUAUGUUAUGUGAAUGUGUCGCUUAGAGUUGUUGCUAGAUCUUUCCAUUUGUAGUACACCCUCAAGGCAUUAACUCUUUAACUAUUAGUUUCAUGAACUAUAAACUAUUAAAACAGGAGGUUGUUAUGGCCUCACCCAUGGAUGAUGCUCAAAGAAUAUGAAAAACAGAGUCAUGAUCACAUACCUCAUGCAGUGUGCUUCACAACAUUCUACUGAAAACGGAACACACAGCUUGAAGCUCGCAUGCUGAAUUCAGGGUCACUGAAUGGCAGGGCAGCUCUCCUUUGGCAGGGAAAGGCUAGCAGUUGAUCAUCCAUUAGCUAUUCAGCUCCUCUUGCCCUCCAUGCCAGAGGAGAACUGCACUGUGAUUCUCACCCUGACAAUUUAUUCAAUCUGCCCAUUACUGCUCCUCUCGUCAUUCUUUGCUUCCAAUAUUUUCCUUGCUCUGUAUUUUAAUUGUUGAACUCAGGUAUAUAUAGUACAAAGAUCACUGAGUAAAAUCUGGAUAUGCCUUGAAAUAUGCUACCUAAGCUGACAAUGCUUGAG